GGGCCCGCACAAGCGGUGGAGCAUGUGGUUUAAUUCGAUGAUACGCGAGGAACCUUACCAGGGCUUAAAUGUAGUAUGACCGGCUUGGAAACAGGCCUUCUCUUCGGAGCAGAUUACAAGGUGCUGCAUGGUUGUCGUCAGCUCGUGCCGUGAGGUGUUAGGUUAAGUCCUGCAACGAGCGCAACCCCUAUUCUUAGUUGCCAGCGGUUCGGCCGGGGACUCUAAGAAGACUGCCAGCGCAAGCUGAGAGGAAGUGGGGAUGACGUCAAAUCAUCACGGCCCUUACGUCCUGGGGCUACACACGUGCUACAAUGGUAGAGACAGAGGGCAGCCACCUGGUGACAGGGAGCGAAUCCUUAAACUCUAUCUC
rnacentral:rRNA from 1 species